UGGCUUAGUUGUUAGAGCAUAGUGUUUGCAACACCAGGGUUGUGGGUUCGAUUCCCAC
rfam:Salmo salar isolate Sally breed double haploid chromosome ssa22, whole genome shotgun sequence.